AAGAAUUUAAGUUAAAAAAACUAAGGGUCUUCAAAACCCUCAAUGACUCUGUCAAUUCUUG
rnacentral:tRNA from 1 species